rnacentral:rRNA from 1 species
AACGACUCUCGGCAACGGAUAUCUCGGCUAUCGCAUCGAUGAAGAACGUAGCGAAAUGCGAUACUUGGUGUGAAUUGCAGAAUCCCGUGAACCAUCGAGUCUUUGAACGCAAGUUGCGCCCAAAGCCUUCCGGCCGAGGGCACGUCUGCCUGGGCGUCACGC